UAUGUAUUUUAAUGUUGAGUCGAGAAAUUCACUGUUCAGAAACAAGGUGUAUAGUGUGUGUUCCGAACUUUGAGACGGAAGGCUUUUAGUUAGCAACACAAAGUCGUCUAGAGCUUAGACCCAGGACUGUUAAUCGAGACGGCAUAUCCCGGCGGCGUAUUAACUGCACCAUUGCGAUGCCACAGCAACGAUAAUUAUAUUUCUCAGACAAGCUAUCCAAUUUGUUUCAAGGCUGGAAUGAAUUUGUGCUGCCUGCUGGAGAGCAGUUAAUAGAGAGGUUUACAGACAACAACUGCAGCACUGCAAGAAGUCAUUCACUCACUUCAGCAGUAUUAUAAGCGUGUUGCGGCCGCAUCAAGUUCUUGUCUGUUUUCUGGGAAGCCAUAUCUAUCAUAAAUACACAUCUAUAUAAAAAUAUACAUCGGAUUUCGUA